UUGAACGCUGGCGGCAGGCCUAACACAUGCAAGUCGAGCGGUAGCACAGAGAGCUUGCUCUCGGGUGACGAGCGGCGGACGGGUGAGUAAUGUCUGGGAAACUGCCUGAUGGAGGGGGAUAACUACUGGAAACGGUAGCUAAUACCGCAUAAUGUCGCAAGACCAAAGUGGGGGACCUUCGGGCCUCAUGCCAUCAGAUGUGCCCAGAUGGGAUUAGCUAGUAGGUGGGGUAACGGCUCACCUAGGCGACGAUCCCUAGCUGGUCUGAGAGGAUGACCAGCCACACUGGAACUGAGACACGGUCCAGACUCCUACGGGAGGCAGCAGUGGGGAAUAUUGCACAAUGGGCGCAAGCCUGAUGCAGCCAUGCCGCGUGUGUGAAGAAGGCCUUCGGGUUGUAAAGCACUUUCAGCGGGGAGGAAGGCGUUAAGGUUAAUAACCUUGGCGAUUGACGUUACCCGCAGAAGAAGCACCGGCUAACUCCGUGCCAGCAGCCGCGGUAAUACGGAGGGUGCAAGCGUUAAUCGGAAUUACUGGGCGUAAAGCGCACGCAGGCGGUCUGUCAAGUCGGAUGUGAAAUCCCCGGGCUCAACCUGGGAACUGCAUUCGAAACUGGCAGGCUAGAGUCUUGUAGAGGGGGGUAGAAUUCCAGGUGUAGCGGUGAAAUGCGUAGAGAUCUGGAGGAAUACCGGUGGCGAAGGCGGCCCCCUGGACAAAGACUGACGCUCAGGUGCGAAAGCGUGGGGAGCAAACAGGAUUAGAUACCCUGGUAGUCCACGCCGUAAACGAUGUCGACUUGGAGGUUGUGCCCUUGAGGCGUGGCUUCCGGAGCUAACGCGUUAAAUCGACCGCCUGGGGAGUACGGCCGCAAGGUUAAAACUCAAAUGAAUUGACGGGGGCCCGCACAAGCGGUGGAGCAUGUGGUUUAAUUCGAUGCAACGCGAAGAACCUUACCUGGUCUUGACAUCCACAGAACUUUCCAGAGAUGGAUUGGUGCCUUCGGGAACUGUGAGACAGGUGCUGCAUGGCUGUCGUCAGCUCGUGUUGUGAAAUGUUGGGUUAAGUCCCGCAACGAGCGCAACCCUUAUCCUUUGUUGCCAGCGGUUCGGCCGGGAACUCAAAGGAGACUGCCAGUGAUAAACUGGAGGAAGGUGGGGAUGACGUCAAGUCAUCAUGGCCCUUACGACCAGGGCUACACACGUGCUACAAUGGCAUAUACAAAGAGAAGCGACCUCGCGAGAGCAAGCGGACCUCAUAAAGUAUGUCGUAGUCCGGAUUGGAGUCUGCAACUCGACUCCAUGAAGUCGGAAUCGCUAGUAAUCGUAGAUCAGAAUGCUACGGUGAAUACGUUCCCGGGCCUUGUACACACCGCCCGUCACACCAUGGGAGUGGGUUGCAAAAGAAGUAGGUAGCUUAACCUUCGGGAGGGCGCUUACCACUUUGUGAUUCAUGACUGGGGUG
rnacentral:rRNA from 1 species